UACAGGGGGGGCAAGCGUUGUUCGGAAUUACUGGGCGUAAAGGGUUCGUAGGUGGCCGCUUAAGUCAGACGUGAAAUCCCUCAGCUUAACUGGGGAACUGCGUCUGAUACUGAGCGGCUUGAGUGCAGGAGAGGGAUGCGGAAUUCCAGGUGUAGCGGUGAAAUGCGUAGAUAUCUGGAGGAACACCGGUGGCGAAGGCGGCAUCCUGGACUGUAACUGACACUGAGGAACGAAAGCCAGGGGAGCAAACGGGAUUAGAAACCCCUGUAGUCC
rnacentral:rRNA from 1 species